AUGCUCUGCGCGGGCGGCCGGGCUGGGGAAGGGGAGGGCAGGUGGGCGGGGCGGAGUGAGCUCGGGGGCGGGGCGAGAGCGGGGGUGGUGGGGAGACGCGGGUACUGCGCAAGCGCAGAGGAGGCCGCUCCUGGUCGCCGGGACUGCAGCUGUGGGCGACUCGGUCCCCUGACGCACCCGGGGGUUUUGACACGGUCUCUACAUCUUUUGCGUCUGUGCGCACGUGCAGCGUUACCUGCACACGCUGCUUAAGCCCUGGCCGGUUCGUCCUUCCUCUCGCCGUCCUGUCAGCCGGCUCUCCGCUUUCCCUGACAAACAUUUCUGGGCACGAUUCACGCCUCUUGCAUUUUUUUGAUGUGUGUUUUCUCUGAACUAAAAACGAAACAAACUCCUGUUAUCUCGAGUGGUUUCUGUAGCGGCGCUGGACCGGAACACCCCAGCCGCUUUCUCUCGGUGAGGGAGGUGAGCGGGUUAGUCAGACCAUUUCUCACACGCGGAAACUGAGGCCUGCGGAGAGGCGGCCCCCGACAGAGAUGAGGAAAGUCAAAAAGACGCGUAUGAGGCCCAGGAAGUUUUGUGCAGAGAUUUCAAGGAGAAGGGAAGGCGGAGUGCUUACCCUGGGAGAGGAACGGCAGCGACAGAGCACGUCUCAGGAAGGGCAGGAGCCUGGAGUCUUGGUGGGGGUGUGUUAAAGUGUGUGAACAAGGUAACACCUGCAGCAGUUGAAGUGGGAAUAAAGCAAUCAGAAUUCCCGUCGACCUCUCCUAGGGCUUUUACUGGGACAGUGGAUAAAAGACCACUAGGCAAGUCCUUACUAAGUGUUCCCAAGGGACCGAGGUGGCAGCUCCAUUUCAGGGCAAGACUAGCAGCCCUGGCACAAAAUACAGCUUUUCUUAGAUUAUUCCUUUGUGUCUUCUCCCUUUUCUUUUUUAUUCGACAUUAAAAAAUUACCAUGCUCUCACCCCACUCCUACCCUGGGACUGGUGGGUCAAUUAACCACCAAACUGCUGUGGGGCCCUCAGGGCACAAUACUAGAUACUUGAGUAGGGUAUGAGAGACAAUACAAAGAUUAAUUUUCUAAGAGUCCUCGCCUCUGUUUUGGCUUUGGGCAGGUCAGUUUCUGUGGCUUCUGCAGCCUCCCACCUUCUUCCUGGGCUAGCAGAGACUUGCCCUUGGGUUGGUGGAGUGUAUACACCUUUCUUUGACACUAGGUUGAAUAAUACUCCUGGGAGGAUUUAUGAAACCAGAAUCCUGCACACAGGUGAAACAAACAAAUGUAGACAGUAUGAGGAACCUUUAAUUAUUAACCUGGUGUGGGUGAUUCUGAGGAAUUCAAAUUCCAGGCAAAGAGGGUUUUCUUUCAUCUGUGAACUUUUGGGGGGACCAAAUUCUGGCAGAAAGCGACACCUGCUUGUGAUAGACCAUCAGAGCUGAAUGGGAGUUUUGUUAUUUAGUCCACAAGUUAUUUCAAAGCAAGAGCACUUAACAAUUAACUGGAAGAUCUCUAGUCUGACUUGGAUAAUUCCAAUAAAGGAGAACUCAUUACUGUACCAGUCACCCUUGCUCCCUUCUUAGGUAGUUGCAGUUAUAUUAACAAAAUUCAUCUUGUUCCCCCAUCUUGGGACUUGCACCUUUUUGAGUAUCCCCAUCUCAUCACCCACGCAGUUGAGCAAGUCAGCUUCGCUACUUCACUAUUGCACUACAUCUCAGUUCCAGUCCUAAAUCUGUCCAUGCCAGUGGCCACCAUCCUAAUCUAAGACUCCCACCAUGUGCCUGGAUAAUUGUAAUACCCCAUACCUGCUUUCCCAAAUACACUCUUCUCUUUGUUCUCUGCAUGGCAGCCAGGGUUAUAAUGCAUAGCAGUCGUAUCUCACAACAAUGGCCUCCUAUCGUCUUUGGGAUAAAAAUCUCAAACUUUUACCAUGGCUUUCACAGCUACAUGAUGUGGGCCUGUUCAGGACAUAGCUUCAGCUUCAACUCUCAUUAUACUCUUUCAAGGAACAUGCCAGCUGCAGAUUUUUUUUUUCAGAUCUUCUAAAAUGCCACACUCUUUGUUUCAAUGCACACAUCAUUCUCUCUGUGUAUAAAUACUUCAUUCCUUAGCUAAUUCAAUUGUCACAUCUUUUCUACAUAUAUAUGUGUGUGUAUGUAAAUAUAUAUGCAUACAUUUA